AGCAAGUUCAUUGUUAGUGGGCGGCAUCAUUGUCUAUUUGAAGAGUGUGAUCGUGUUCACCUCCUAUAGCAGUGUUUGUGAUGGAUGCGACCCAGGUCUAACUAGGAUGUCACUGGAUUCAUAUUAUGAUCGUGUUGUACGGGCAGUAUAGUAACCAUCGACCGAUUUUACUGUGCCAGGACAAAGAAAGGAAACGAAGCCUCUCGGAGUCAGGCUAAGGUGCUGUAUGACCCAUGAUUAACAAGUGUUUUCGAAACCAUUGUUAUUUGUAGUAGUAAUUUAAUAGGAGUGUAAGCUGGGGAGGAUAUCGAUCCUAAAAUAAUGGCGAACGAAUGCUGGUAUGUACAGUAACUUUUACAAACAUGACGAACUGUAUGCCUAAUUAGUGCUUUUUCUAUCUUAUAUUUUUUCAUUAUCCAGAGCAAUGUACGACUAUAAAAACCAGGGCUAAGUACAAACAAAAAGCAAAAAGUGAUGAUUAAAUAUCUCAGAUUAGUAACUAUGAUACGGGCAUUCAGCUGUUACAAUUGUAGUUCAAAGUUGGAAAUAUUAAAAAACACUCUGUUAGCAAAAUGUGUGAAAUAUGUUUGAGGCUGAGUGACCUUGGGAGCUUUGACAGUUGAAUAAAUAGUAUGUUUGGUAUGGCC
rnacentral:sRNA from 2 species